rnacentral:rRNA from 1 species
AUUGAACGCUGGCGGUAGGCCUAACACAUGCAAGUCGAGCGGAGAGGCGGACGGGUGAGUAAUGCCUAGGAAUCUGCCUGGUAGUGGGGGAUAACGUCCGGAAACGGGCGCUAAUACCGCAUACUAGCAGAUGAGCCUAGGUCGGAGUAGCUAGUGGGUGGGGUAAAGGCCUACCAAGGCGACGAUCCGUAACUGGGCUGAGAGGAUGAUCAGUCACACUGGAACUGAGACACGGUCCAGACUCCUACGUGAGGCAGCAGUGGGGAAUCUUGGACAAUGGGCGAAGUCCUGAUCCAGUCAUGCCGCGUGUGUGAAGAAGGUCUUCGGAUUGUAAAGCACUUUAAGUUUGGAGGCGUUACCAACAGAAUAAGCACCGGCUAACUUCGUGCCAGCAGCCGCGGUAAUUC